UCGGUUUAAGUUUGUAUCCGACGUGAUGAUAAUUGAAAAGGGUUCACGAAAAAAAUAAAAAGGAGAAGUCCCCAUUGUCGUACAUCAAACCCUAGUCUCCUUCCCCCUUCUCUCCCUUUCUCAAGGUAAAAAAAUGUCUGAUCCUUCAAAGGUCGUUCAUGUUCGCAAUGUGGGGCAUGAGAUCUCAGAGAAUGACUUGCUUCAACUAUUCCAACCAUUUGGCGUCAUUACCAAACUUGUAAUGCUUAGGGCAAAAAAUCAGGCCCUCUUGCAAAUGCAAGAUGUACCUUCAGCUGUAAAGGCAUUGCAAUUCUACUCAAAUGUUCAACCCAGCAUAAGGGGGAGGAAUGUUUACAUUCAGUUUUCAUCUCACCAAGAACUGACAACUAUGGAUCAAAAUGCACAAGGCCGUGGAGAUGAGCCUAAUCGAAUUCUCUUAGUCACAAUACAUCACAUGCUAUACCCUAUAACCGUGGAUGUGCUGCAUCAAGUGUUUUCUCCACAUGGAUUUGUAGAGAAGAUUGUCACAUUUCAGAAGUCGGCUGGUUUUCAAGCUUUAAUCUAGUAUCAAUUACAACAGAGUGCUGUUUCUGCAAGGAACUCACUUCAGGGGCGUAAUAUAUAUGAUGGCUGCUGUCAGCUUGACAUACAGUUCUCUAACCUAGAUGAAUUGCAAGUGAACUACAAUAAUGAACGUUCAAGGGACUUCACUAACCCAAAUCUACCAUCAGAACAGAAGGGCAAAUCUUCUCAACAAGGAUAUGGGGACGUGUAUUCCUUCCAAGGUCCUGGAGCUCAUCCAGGUGGAUUUCCUCAGAUGGGAAAUGCUGAAGCAAUUGCUGCUGCGUUUGCUGGUGGUUUGCCACCUGGAAUAAGCGGGACAAAUGACAGAUGUACUAUUCUUGUUUCUAAUUUAAAUUCAGAUAGAAUAAAUGAGGACAAACUUUUUAAUCUGUGCUCCCUUUAUGGAAAUAUUGUAAGCAUUAAGAUUCUGCGCAAUAAACCAGAUCAUGCUCUGGUUCAGAUGGGUGAUGGGUUCCAAGCCGAGCUUGCUGUUCACUUUUUGAAGGGUGCCAUGUUAUUUGAAAAGCGUCUGGAAGUCAACUUCUCAAAGCAUCCCAAUAUUACUACAGGACCGGACACACAUGAGUACUCAAAUUCAAAUCUCAACCGCUUUAACCGUAAUGCUGCUAAGAACUAUAGGUACUGCUGCUCCCCUACCAAGAUGAUCCACCUAUCCUCCUUACCCCAGGACGUAACAGAGGCAGAGAUUAUGGCACAUUUGGAGGAGCAUGGUCCCAUCAUCAAUAGUAAGCUUUUUGAGAUGAAUGGCAAACAGCAGGCUCUUGUUCUUUUUGAAAAGGAGGAGCAGGCAACUGAGGCACUCGUAUGCAAAAAUGCUACAUCUCUUGGUAGCUCAACCAUCCGGAUUUCAUUUUCUCAGUUACAGAGCAUCUGAGAAGCCUUUUGUGAUAGGAUCAGUAAGGAGUCAAUGCCAUUGUAUACACAAUACUGACAACGAUGUAAUGUGCUUUCACUGAUUUGUGGUUUUAGUUUCUGCUGCCUUAUGUACUCUUUUUCCCUCUACUAGUGCUUAUACUUUAUUUUCUUUCUGCA